UGGUGAAUCUCUUUCAUCAGUUUUAAUUGAGCAGCCCAGCAGUGAAGAGCAUCUAAAGGACUCCCUUAUCCAGAUUUAUCAAGAGAUUGCAUUUUUAAUAACAGAAAGGAACACAUGCUUUAAAAUACCUGAAAUAUGGAGAGGGGAGUGGUGAGAAUGACUAACCUUCAUGAAGUCAUAACUGGAUACAGGACAAACUUCCAGAAGCAACGAUUAAUGGCGAUGAAAGCAGCAAAGCGUAUAAAGGAUUCUUGUUACUGGUUUUAUUUUCAGUACCUGCUGAUCAGCUGCUGUGUUGACCUGGAGCCCUGGGAACAAAUAGUGAUACAUGUUUUUUCUGCCACUACUAUUACCAUGUUGGUCUUCACAGCUUAUGUGUUCAUUCCAAUCCAUUUACGUCUGGCUUUUAGGUUCUUCCUGCAGCUACUGGUCAAGUAGCCAGAGACAACAGUUCUCAGUGUUUGCCAUGAUGGUCCUGGGGGUUCUCUAUGUAAUUUUGAUGUGUUUGUGUAAAUAGAGUUAUUUAGAAGUCUGAGCCUGUUUCCCACCCUUUGUAGUCCCUUGGAAAUUGCUAAUUUUGACAACAGAUUUUUGCAACAGUGAGUCAUGGCGGCAGGAAGGAAGCCACAAGUCACUAGUCUUCCACCAUUUUAUUUAAAAAAAUUACCCACAGAAUUGUUAUGGGUAGAAAUUCCAACCGUCACUGAUGUAACAUGGGAAUAGGGAAGUUCUAUUGCGGCCCAACUAAACUUAAUGGUCUUUCUUUGAGCCUACCGAAGUAGUAACAAAAAAAACUGUGCGGGAGUUUGUGCUAAUAAAUUUGAAAUAUUAAUCAAAAUGAUUUCAUAAAAAAGAGUGUACAAUAUUUGCAUCACAUAUCAAAUGCAAGUGAAGACGGUGAUCUCCGGAAUGUGCUGCCGUUUCAACACAAGUCUUCUUCUGAACAGUGAUGUAUACAUGUGGUGUCUCUCUAUUUCAUUUCAACUGAUUCAUCAUCAACAAUUUCAUGGAUCUCUCAGGAUUGUCUAAUACAUUGUAGAAACAGUUUCUAGAAAAGCCUUGUUGUUGGGACUGGACCACUUAUGACUAAAGAUGGGGCACUGCUCGUUUGCAUGCUUAACUAUCUGCCCAUCAGAAGGCUAGGCUGGACCCUCUUCCCUGGGAUGCUUGCCGGUCUGCAGUAGCAGGGAGGAAGAGCAACAACACUUGCCACUUCUGGCCAUGAGAAGUGCCGUUAUGCAACCAGAAUAUGCCAUUCAACAGGCAAAGAUCACCUUUGGCUCUGUAAAUUAAUCUACAGCUUAACUUCUGUACCCUGUAAGGGGUAAAUUAACACAAGUUAUACUUUCUUUCAGAUGAGGCUCCUUGCACUCAUGCCUUGCCUCGGUUUUCAGCUUCACAUUGGGGUCAGGGGAUGUUCAUAAACUCUGCAUUCCUAUGGAACAGAUCCCUUAGUUAAUCCAAAAUUGACAUAUGUGUUGGCUCAUGCCCAGGUUCAUCUUGUUUAUUGGCAUAGUGUCUUUGGAAUUCAUUGCUUCCAGAUAUUUGUUGGAUCCAGCUCAUCUUGCUCUUUACGGAGUGUCUCAAGGCAUGUUUAUAUGUGUACGUUUGUUCCAAUUAAAGUAACAUUUCAUGGAGAUUCCAGAGAGGUGGCUGUGUCAGUCU